CUGCAUUAUGCUGUAUUAUGAGCCGGUAUUUACCAUCUGGCCCAAUCACAGUAACAAGCUGAGCACUUCUGAAUAAAAGACAUUUUUCCUCAAAAUUUAUACUGCCUCCAGUGCCAGUAUUCUCUAUGGACCCUGAGCACAUAAUUAUUUCAUGGGGUAUCCUGCACAUAGAUCCAAGCAGAUGCCGGGACAUCCUGCAGAAGUACCCACUGAGGGUUUAGGCUUUCCAAGGCACACAGUUCAUUGUUGGAUAUGUUAACCAGGAUCAGAGAUGUUCCCAUGAAGUUAAAAACGGGAACUGAAGACUGAAGAGCUACAGCUGUUUCAAGUUGUUGAAUUCAAGUGUGGACAAUCUUUCCAAGUAGCCUGAGGUUUUUCAGGAAUUAUCAGUGCCAGCUGCACAACUCUUUGCAACGAAAGUCACACUACACAUCUGCCUGGACCAGCUCCACGCUUGAUGUGGGUGGCUGAGUGAUCUUCCCUCCAGCAUCUUCAAUACAUGUGCUUAUCCUGCUUCUGACAGAGUCUCUGGAAUAUUGGGAUAUUCCAUGGAGUAUUUGGAUUCCAAUGGAACAUUUGGAAUAUUCCAGCGAGUGGAAUAUUCCCUUGGUGUGUGAAUUCACAGGGUGUGAAUAUUCCCUUGGAUAAUAGUUUGGUGCCAGUUAGAGUGAAUGUUCUCCUAUUUUUUCUGAAUCAUAAGUACAUUCAUGAAGGAAAUCUUAAAAAAAAAAAAAAAAAAAAUCCUUUACUUGUUUGUUUACACAGCAGCUGUAGGCAAAAGGGCUCCCAGCACACCCACUGCAAAUUGUCUGCAUGACAGUUAACCAAGUGUGUGGUUAUCUGAACAAGCCUCUUUUAUGACCAGAUAAAUGCUGUUAAACCUGAAUUUUGCAACUGUCAUCUGCUCAUUCAUCGACUGUGUCAUUCCUAUUCUCAUGUCAUUCAGUUACAACAAUGAAUGAAAAGCAAAUUAUUUCAUCACUGCCAGAAAAAAGUGAUGAUAGUAGCACACUUAAAAUCUGCUGACUGUUAGCAUGCAAAUACAAACUGGCUUUUGCAUGAAACAGAGAAGUAUGAAAGAAGAAGACUUUCCCUGCACACACAACUUGCAGGAGAAUUCCCAGACACCCAACUCAGUGACACUAGCCGAAGUCAGGAGUGGCAGGGAAUUGCUCUUGCACAACCUUGCUCUGGCAAACUCAUUUUUAAGACAGUGUUAAUAGUAGGAAUUAUGGAAAUAAACCAAAAGACUUAGAGCACGUACAGGCUGGCAAAAUAAAUUAAUGUUAUUUUAUGAUAUCUGGGGUAAAGCUUUGAAUAGCUAACUAGAUAUUAAGAAGGCUAGUACUUCUUUUUAAAGAAAUUGGGGUCUGAACAUGAUAGGAUGUUGAAAACUGAGGAAAGCAGAGCCUAUAAAAAAAAAAUCCCUGCCUUACUGUAAAACACCUCUAUUUCAAGAGGAAACUCCUCUCCCCACUUAAAAGAUAGACAAGAAAGAACUCCAUGUGUUUAAACAGGAGGAAAACUGUAAUGUGGAUGCACUGUACUGAGGGCCAUGUUGACCCACAGAGUGUUUGAGUUCUUGCUUUGUACUAUCUGGAUGUGGUCCCAUGGGAAAAAUGCCCCUGCUCUGAUAGGUACAUGACUGGAGUAUAUCCAUGUUCUGCUGGAAAGAACCCAGUCCACAACCUCUAAAGCUCCUCUGUGAUCCCAGUCAAAGCAUUGCAUGCG
rnacentral:lncRNA from 1 species